rnacentral:rRNA from 1 species
CCUACGGGAGGCAGCAGUGAGGAAUAUUGGUCAAUGGGCGGAAGCCUGAACCAGCCAAGUAGCGUGAGGGAGUAAGGCCCUACGGGUCGUAAACCUCUUUUGCCGGGGAGCAGUGCCCAGCUCGUGAGCUGGGAGGGAGCGUACCCGGAUAAAAAGCAUCGGCUAACUCCGUGCCAGCAGCCGCGAUAAUACGGAGGAUGCGAGAGUUAUCCGGAUUUAUUGGGUGUAAGGGAUGCGUAGGCGGUCCUUCAGGCCGGCGGUAAAAUUGCGGGGCUCAUCCCCGCCGAGCCGUCGGAACCGGGGUCAUUGAGUACCGGAGAAGUACGCGGAAUGCGUGGUGUAGCGGUGAAAUGCAUAGAUAUCACGCAGAACCCCGAUUGCGAAGGCAGCGUACCGGCCGGUCACUGACGCUGAGGCACGAAAGCGCGGGUAUCGAACAGGAUUAGAUACCCCUGUAGUC